UAAAUAAAAAACUUGAAUAAUUUGGAAAAGUUAACUAAAGAAGGUGAUAGUCC
rnacentral:rRNA from 1 species